GCCUCUAUAGCUCAGUGGUAGAGCGUUCGACUUGUAAUCGAAAGGUCCGCGUCAACCCCGCGUGGAGGCA
rnacentral:tRNA from 1 species